rnacentral:SRP_RNA from 15 species
CUAAGUGGGAUCAUCUUUUUCACUUAUUGGGGGGUCGGCUGUAGAGCCGAGCGCCAGAGAGGCAGCGACAACAACACCAAACUUGGCCCGACCACCCCCAAGGAAGAGGAGAUGAGGAGGGUCGCCGAGGGAAAGCUGUUGAAGGGGGCGAUAAGUAGGCGGGAAGGCCGUCAGGCAGG